rnacentral:ribozyme from 1 species
GAAAAUGGAUUCCUAAGCACACUGAUUACUUGGGAGGAGACGGCAGUGGCGAUUCUGACCACAACCACAAAUAUACACUCCCCCCACCCAUCUCGUCACGGACCGAGUUGUUUAA